rnacentral:rRNA from 1 species
CCUACGGGAGGCAGCAGUGAGGAAUUUUCCGCAAUGGGCGAAAGCCUGACGGAGCAAUACCGCGUGAGGGAUGAAGGAUUUUGGUCUGUAAACCUCUUUUCUCAAGAAAGAAGUUCUGACGGUACUUGAGGAAUAAGCAUCGGCUAACUCCGUGUCAGCAGCCGCGGUAAUACGGGGGAUGCAAGCGUUAUCCGGAAUGAUUGGGCGUAAAGCGCCUGUAGGUUGUUUAUUAAGUCCGUUGUUAAAGCCUAGGGCUCAACCCUAGAAAAGCAAUGGAAACUAGUAGACUAGAGUAUGGCAGGGGUAGAGGGAAUUUCUAGUGUAGCGGUGAAAUGCGUAGAUAUUAGAAAGAACACCGGUGGCGAAAGCGCUCUACUGGACCAUUACUGACACUCAGAGGCGAAAGCUAGGGUAGCAAAAGGGAUUAGAUACCCCUGUAGUCCUAGCCGUAAACGAAUGGAUACUAGAUGUUGUGCAUUAUGUACAGUAUCGUAGCUAACGCGUUAAGUAUCCCGCCUGGGGAGUACGCUCGCAAGGGUGAAACUUAAAGGAAUUGACGG